GGAGCACGCUAUUUUCCUGUAUUCCUUGAGUUUCUUAUGGAUCCCCAGUUGCUGCCUCCUUCUGAAGCACAGGUUAUUAGAGAGGCUGAAAACCAGACUGGAACAGGCUCUUCAAAGGCAACCUCC